AUGGCUCGCUGCACACUCACUCUUCUUAAAACUAUGUUAACGGAACUCCUGAGAGGUGGAUCCUUUGAGUUUAAGGACAUGCGUGUUCCUUCAGCGCUUGUUACUUUACAUAUGCUCCUGUGCUCUAUCCCCCUCUCAGGUCGUUUGGAUAGUGAUGAACAGAAAAUUCAGAAUGAUAUCAUUGAUAUUUUACUGACUUUUACACAAGGAGUUAAUGAAAAACUCACAAUCUCAGAAGAGACUCUGGCCAAUAAUACUUGGUCUUUAAUGUUAAAAGAAGUUCUUUCUUCAAUCUUGAAGGUUCCUGAAGGAUUUUUUUCUGGACUCAUACUCCUUUCAGAGCUGCUGCCUCUUCCAUUGCCCAUGCAAACAACUCAGCACUUCAGAAGAUAAAGAAAAACAGUAUACUAGCCAAACCACCAGGUUGCUUGCUCUUCUUGAUGCUCUGGCUUCACACAAAGCUUGUAAAUUAGCUAUUUUGCAUCUAAUUAAUGGAACUAUUAAAGGUGAUGAAAGAUAUGCAGAGAUAUUCCAGGAUCUUUUAGCUUUGGUGCGGUCUCCU
rnacentral:ncRNA from 3 species